UCCACACCUUCAAAGCAGUACAGUGUAAUAAGAGUAGUUCAAAACAGAGAAUUAAAGAUUUAUAUAAUCAUCUAUCUUCGACUAAUCUGUAAAAAUGUUCGCGGCCAGACCUUUGGUUUUCACCAUCUUGGUUUUAGAAGAAAAUUGCAACGAGCCCGAGCUUAUUGAGGAUGACUGGUCACGAUGUUUGAUGGUGACUGGUGGUGGAUUCACGAUGUUCAUCGGCGGAUCUGGACACGUUGAAGCCAAGAGAAAAGGAUCAUCAUCAGCGUACGCCAUGGAUUUUUCACAAUCUGUCACAAAUCAAAAUAAUGGAAAAUAUAAGUGUCAAUAAGUAUUUUGAAUUGUUUGUUCACAUUAACCUGAUUUUUCCUUAACUGGAUUAGGUGUCGUGACUGUUUCAGGAUCUGCAUAAUGAGAAAAGAUGCGUCAAAAUCAAAACAUUAUUCUCGUCAAAAAUGAGAAUAAUACCUUUACCUUCUGUCAAUUCACUAAUCCCGUUAUUGGAUCCAUCAGCUGUGGCCGCGACACUGAUGACUUCGUUUCGGAAACCUCUGUUGUUUGACGCUCCUUUUUUCCACCGACGAACCUUCGUUACUUCAUAGUCAUAGUCACUGAAAUUGACUGGCCGAACGUCGCGGGUUCCAUUGACAAUCAGCUCGCUCCCAGAUUCCUCCC